rnacentral:rRNA from 1 species
AUUGAACGCUGGCGGCGUGCUUAACCCAUGCAAGUCGAACGAAGUGGCGCACGGGUGAGUAACGCGUAAUCCACCUGCCCUUCAGAGGGGGACAACAGUUGGAAACGACUGCUAAUACCGCAUACUGAAGGAGGGGAUUGCGUCUGAUUAGCUAGUUGGAGGGGUAACGACCCACCAAGGCGAUGCUCAGUAACCGGUGUGAGAGGAUGACCGGACACAUUGGGACUGAGACACGGCCCAGACUCCUACGGGAGGCAGCAGGUGGGAAUCUUCCGCAAUGGACGAAAGUCUGACGGAGCAACGCCGCGUGAGUGAUGACGGCCUUCGGGUGGUAAAGCUCUGUUAAUCGGGACGCGGUACCGGAAUAGAAAGCCACGGCUAACUACGUGCCAGCAGCCGCGGUAAUUC